AUGCUCGAAAGUCUCCACGGUGAAAACAAGCUUCGCCGGCGUGUAAAUACCAAUUAGAGGGCUCCAUUCGUCGUCAUGUCUUGCUCCAUCGUCACCGGAAUCAGGCCUUGCCAUCGCGGAUCCAGAUAAAAGCUCUUCGAGAGAAACAAUUGCAACUCUUGCUUAUUUGCACACUUGGUCCUUAAACUUUCAGCUAUUCUCAUAGUGACCCCAAAACUCUUAGAUUUGCACGUAUGUCCUUUUGAAUCAGCCCCAAAACAAUUGAUGGACCACUAUAGACCUCUUUGUAAUUCCACGAUGGUCCCUUAUCUUUUGAUGAUUUUCAAAUCGGUCACAAACUUUGUAAAUUUCAAAGAUAACCUCACGAUUUCGUCCCAAACUUCUUAAAC
rnacentral:lncRNA from 1 species